AAGUCGUAACAAGGUUUCCGUAGGUGAACCUGCGGAAGGAUCAUUAUCACGUAUCCACGUAUCAACCAUUGUGAACUGUACCACCUCUGAAGAGUUGGUGAUGACGGGUUGUUUUGGCUUCGGCUAUGCGCCUGUCCUCUCACUAACUUUUUAGAGUGUAUUUUCAAUUUUUUUAUAUUAACCCUUCGAACCAAAUCUCUUUUAAGAUUUUUGAACUGAUAAAGUAGGAAGCUGAAAGGCUUUACUACUAAUUUACGAAAACACUGUACAACUCUUAGCAACGGAUAUCUUGGCUCUC
rnacentral:misc_RNA from 1 species